rnacentral:misc_RNA from 1 species
GAUGAAGAACGCAGCGAAAUGCGAUAAGUAAUGUGAAUUGCAGAAUUCAGUGAAUCAUCGAAUCUUUGAACGCACCUUGCGCCCUUUGGCUAUUCCGAAGGGCAUGCCUGUUUGAGUAUCGUGAACACCUCAACUCUCAUGGUUUGCCAUGAUGAGCUUGGACUUUGGGGGUUUUGCUGGCCUUUGGUCGGCUCCUCUCAAACGGAUCAGCUUUCCAGUGUUUGGUGGCGUCACGGGUGUGAUAACUGUCUACGCCUGUGGUUUUCUGCCAGAUAACCUUCAGCGAUGGAGGUUCGCUGGGGCUCAUAAAUGUCUCUCUUCAGUGGAGACAGCUUUUUGGACGUUUGAUCUCAAAUCAGGUAGGACUACCCGCUGAACUUAAGCAUAUCAAUAAGCGGAGGA